UCUUGUCUUGACUAUGUUACUGUCUAUAUAACCAGCAAAGGCGCUAAACCAGUUUACCGUAACGUCAAGGUGAAGGUUGUUUUACCCAAUACCGGUCGUUCCAGUCUGUCGCAGGAACGAACGGGAACCAGUCUAAGGUGUGUGGUUCUAUCUUCUCAGAUGCGCAUCCUACUGUUUUGUUUGGUGCCGAGCUGUCCAAGAUACAACGCUAAGCACAAUUACUCUAAAAUUAUUUCGUUUUCCAAAAUCGCGACUGAGAAGACAACAAUGCAUGGAUAACAUACAGUAAGAUUCGCGAUUGUGUUUGGAAAGGUCCGUUGUAUGAAUUGCGCUUAUUCGUUCAUUUGUGUUGCGCAUAUUCGCUCUUGCUGAGUUGCUGUCGUCUUCCGUGAGAGUUUAGAUACCUGCUGGUUCUGAAACCACAGGACCAUUUGUAACUAAUAAUAACAAUAUAAAAAAAACUCGCCAAAAAAUUAUAAACGAGGCAGAAGGCCGUUUUUGUUACUAUUAUUAGUUACAUGGUCCUGUGCUGAAACUGAUCGGAAGCGGAUGGUGUACGAACCUUAUAUGGAAACGGGCUAAAGGGACAGCACUCUCAUCAAGACCCUGACUGGGAUGUUUUUGUAAACAAACGCCGUAAAGUUGAAGUAACUCGAUCAGUCAUGCCGGACACUGAUGCCCAAAAAGUACAGGUCCCCAGUCCAUCAUGGUGUACAGUCACUGUCCAAUGUACACCAGAAGCAUGGCACACCGUGCUUUACAGUAUGAGGUCCCACAAUGAUUAUAUGGAAGAGUAUACAUGCGACGAAACCCUUUCCAUAUUCAUAUGAAAUCUCUGUAAAAAACAAAGUCGAUGAUACGAUUCUGACUAAAUCAUGAGCAUGUGUUAAUGAAUCGCUAUCAAAUAGUGAUAAUACCAGGUGUUCGCGAAAGGUGAGAGUAUCCUGCCCCACCGAUGUCAGAAGAAAUCCCUGGUGUUGAGAUCCAUUUUCAUUGUGUGCAAAUUGUGUUUAUUUUCAUGCAAAGUCAUAAAAUAUUAGAGCGUCUUGUGAGGUACAGUGCUUCAGACAACAAGAGAGCUGUACUUUUGAAUUAGUCAACCAGUGCACUAACAAGUUGCCACUGAGCAUUUAGCCAGUGCUUGUGAUAUUUUCUUCAGUCUUUUCCCCAGCCUUUGCCCUUGCCCAAAACUACCUCAUCCAGCAUCAGCCACCCUGUAUUACAGAAAUUUAUCAAAUGAAACAGCCAAGGCUGAUUGUUGUCAGAGACCAUAAAACAAGAUUUCAAUGAAAAAAGUUUAUUUUAAUGAGCAUAGAGAAAAACAUUACAUACAU